UAGGGAAUCUUCGGCAAUGGACGAAAGUCUGACCGAGCAACGCCGCGUGAGUGAAGAAGGUUUUCGGAUCGUAAAACUCUGUUGUUAGAGAAGAACAAGGACGUUAGUAACUGAACGUCCCCUGACGGUAUCUAACCAGAAAGCCACGGCUAACUACGUGCCAGCAGCCGCGGUAAUACGUAGGUGGCAAGCGUUGUCCGGAUUUAUUGGGCGUAAAGCGAGCGCAGGCGGUUUCUUAAGUCUGAUGUGAAAGCCCCCGGCACAACCGGGGAGGGUCAUUGGAAACUGGGAGACUUGAGUGCAGAAGAGGAGAGUGGAAUUCCAUGUGUAGCGGUGAAAUGCGUAGAUAUAUGGAGGAACACCAGUGGCGAAGGCGGCUCUCUGGUCUGUACCUGACGCUGAGGCUCGAAAGCGUGGGGAGCAAACAGG
rnacentral:rRNA from 1 species